UACAAUAGGUCAGUUGGUAGAACAUGGGACUCUUAAUCUCAAGGUCAUGAGUUCAAGCCCCAUGUUGGGCAAAA